CAAGUCGAGCGAACAGACGAGGAGCUUGCUCCUCUGACGUUAGCGGCGGACGGGUGAGUAACACGUGGAUAACCUACCUAUAAGACUGGGAUAACUUCGGGAAACCGGAGCUAAUACCGGAUAAUAUAUUGAACCGCAUGGUUCAAUAGUGAAAGACGGUUUUGCUGUCACUUAUAGAUGGAUCCGCGCCGCAUUAGCUAGUUGGUAAGGUAACGGCUUACCAAGGCAACGAUGCGUAGCCGACCUGAGAGGGUGAUCCGGCCACACUGGAACUGAGACACGGUCCAGACUCCUACGGGAGGCAGCAGUAGGGAAUCUUCCGCAAUGGGCGAAAGCCUGACGGAGCAACGCCGCGUGAGUGAUGAAGGUCUUCGGAUCGUAAAACUCUGUUAUUAGGGAAGAACAAAUGUGUAAGUAACUAUGCACGUCUUGACGGUACCUA
rnacentral:rRNA from 1 species